UUUCUGUUUUGUUUUUUCAAUCCUACUCACAGUAGGCGCUUCCAUUUGCCAUUGCUGUCGUGGCAUUUCUGCGAAACACAACAAUCUUAAAACCCACACCCGUUCCACCCCACUCCCUCAGCCAACAAUCGAAGCAGACUAGAAAAGGGCAGGAUAAAAAGAAAAUCGUUCGACGUUACCGUUCAAUGUUUUAAGAAUUGCACGAGGGCCCUCCUUUGCCGCUACGAAUCGGCUGGGCCGGGGUGGGCUUGGCAGCAAUGGGAAGCGUGGCAUCCCGUGAGGCAUCCGCGUAUAAAUAUUUAUAGAACAUUGGAAAGAAAACCGAAAAUCGAGCCGAUGGGCGAGAAGAAAACGUGGGAAAAGCUCAACCUUCCUCCAUCUCGCGUUCCCCAUCUUUGGGUUGGGAGGACGAGAACAGACGAAAAACCCCAUCGGAGAAGAAAAAAAGGUUUCUUGUUGUUUAUUUGAAGAAUGUGCCGAACACGAAAACGACAGCGGGAUGAGGUGUCCCGGGUUCACGUUUCGAUGGAUGUUGGGCAUGGGCGGAUCGCCUCGCUAACGUGAGAUAUCUUCUAGUGUUUUCCUUUCUUUUCCACCAUUGCCACCGAACGCGGUGUUUAUUCAAAAGGGUGCCCUUUUUCCCGAGGAUUGUCUUUGUUAGUUUUUCGUGUGGUUGGUUCACCUUUUGCCACAUUGUGAAGCGAGUUAACGUUUCAAUACCGUAUUUGGGAGCGGCGAUGAUUCGGCCGUAUUGAAUUGUUAUGUAUGGUAUCGACAACAGGGUUAGCCGUUUCGUUAACAUCAAGUAGAGCGCCUGUAAAUGCGCUUUUAAUUUAUGUCGCUUUUUCUGCAAAUUGUUUAAACAUGUUUGGUGUUGCCCAGAAGGACUGCUUAAUGUUCCCUUAAGAAGGAAUAGAAAUUGCUUCUGCAACAUUGUUGCGUGAAUUGUAGCAAAUCCGAUUGCCGACCGAUUUAAUCAAUGGUUCAAAUUCGAA